UGAGAAGCAAUUUUCGACUCUAGUGGCAAACGGGUGAGUAACACGUGGGUAAUCUCUCCUGGAGUGGGGAAUAACGGAUCGAAAGGUUCGCUAAUACCGCAUGACCUUGAGAAAGCAAAGGUGGAUUGUAAAAUCCAUCGCUCUAGGCGGAACCUGCGGCCGAUCAGGUAGUUGGUGAGGUAACGGCUCACCAAGCCGACGACCGGUAGCUGAUCUGAGAGGAUGACCAGCCACACUGGCACUGAGACACGGGCCAGACUCCUACGGGAGGCAGCAGCGAGGAAUAUUGCGCAAUGGACGAAAGUCUGACGCAGUAACGCCGCGUGAGGGAAGACGACCUUCGGG
rnacentral:rRNA from 1 species